AUUGAACGCUGGCGGCAGGCCUAACACAUGCAAGUCGAACGAGUGGCGGACGGGUGAGUAAUGUCUGGGAAACUGCCUGAUGGAGGGGGAUAACUCCUGGAAACGGUAGCUAAUACCGCAUACCAUCGGAUGUGCCCAGAUGGGAUUAGCUAGUAGGUGGGGUAAAGGCUCACCUAGGCGACGAUCCCUAGCUGUUCUGAGAGGAUGACCAGCCACACUGGAACGGAGACACGGUCCAGACUCCUACGGGAGGCAGCAGUGGGGAAUAGUGCACAAUGGGAGCAAGCCUGAUGCAGCCAUGCCGCGUGUAUGAAGAAGGCCUUCGGGUUGUAAAGGACUGUCAGCGGGGAGGCGUUACCCGCAGAAGAAGCACCGACUAACUCCGUGCCAGCAACCGCGGUAAUAC
rnacentral:rRNA from 1 species